rnacentral:rRNA from 1 species
AAACUUUCAACAACGGAUCUCUUGGUUCUCGCAUCGAUGAAGAACGCAGCGAAAUGCGAUAAGUAGUGUGAAUUGCAGAAUUCCGUGAAUCAUCGAAUCUUUGAACGCACAUUGCGCCUCCUGGUAAUCCGUGAGGCAUGCCUGUCCGAGCGUCAGUA